GGAAUUAUGGCUUAGUGGUAGAGCGCUCCCCUAGGAUGGGUGGGACUUGGGUUCGAUUCUCAGCACCA
rnacentral:tRNA from 1 species